GAUGAACGCUGGCGGCGUGCCUAAUACAUGCAAGUCGAGCGAACAGACGAGGAGCUUGCUCCUCUGACGUUAGCGGCGGACGGGUGAGUAACACGUGGAUAACCUACCUAUAAGACUGGGAUAACUUCGGGAAACCGGAGCUAAUACCGGAUAAUAUAUUGAACCUCAUGGUUCAAUAGUGAAAGACGGUUUUGCUGUCACUUAUAGAUGGAUCCGCGCCGCAUUAGCUAGUUGGUAAGGUAACGGCUUACCAAGGCAACGAUGCGUAGCCGACCUGAGAGGGGGAUCGGCCACACUGGAACUGAGACACGGUCCAGACGCCUACGGGGGGAAGCAGUAGGGAAGCUUCCGCAAUGGGCGAAAGCCUGACGGAGCAACGCCGCGUGAGUGAUGAAGGUCUUCGGAUCGUAAAACUCUGUUAUUAGGGAAGAACAAAUGUGUAAGUAACUAUGCACGUCUUGACGGUACCUAAUCAGAAAGCCACGGCUAACUACGUG
rnacentral:rRNA from 1 species